GUGGGGAAUUUUGGACAAUGGGCGCAAGCCUGAUCCAGCAAUGCCGCGUGCAGGAAGAAGGCCUUCGGGUUGUAAACUGCUUUUGUACGGAACGAAACGGUCCGGGUUAAUACCCUGGGCUAAUGACGGUACCGUAAGAAUAAGAACCGGCUAACUACGUGCCAGCAGCCGCGGUAAUACGUAGGGUGCAAGCGUUAAUCGGAAUUACUGGGCGUAAAGCGUGCGCAGGCGGUUUUGUAAGACAGGCGUGAAAUCCCCGGGCUCAACCUGUGAAUUGCGCUUGUGACUGCAAGGCUGGAGUGCGGCAGAGGGGGAUGGAAUUCCGCGUGUAGCAGUGAAAUGCGUAGAUAUGCGGAGGAACACCGAUGGCGAAGGCAAUCCCCUGGGCCUGCACUGACGCUCAUGCACGAAAGCGUGGGGAGCAAACAGGAUUAGAUACCCUGGUAGUCC
rnacentral:rRNA from 1 species